rnacentral:rRNA from 1 species
ACUCCUACGGGAGGCAGCAGUGGGGAAUAUUGCACAAUGGGGGAAACCCUGAUGCAGCCAUGCCGCGUGUGUGAAGAAGGCCUUCGGGUUGUAAAGCACUUUCAGUAGGGAGGAAGGUAGUGUAGUUAACACCUGCAUUAUUUGACGUUACCUACAGAAGAAGCACCGGCUAACUCCGUGCCAGCAGCCGCGGUAAUACGGAGGGUGCGAGCGUUAAUCGGAAUUACUGGGCGUAAAGCGCAUGCAGGCGGCCUGUUAAGUCAGAUGUGAAAGCCCGGGGCUUAACCUCGGAAUUGCAUUUGAAACUGGCAGGCUAGAGUCUUGUAGAGGGGGGUAGAAUUUCAGGUGUAGCGGUGAAAUGCGUAGAGAUCUGAAGGAAUACCAGUGGCGAAGGCGGCCCCCUGGACAAAGACUGACGCUCAGAUGCGAAAGCGUGGGGAGCAAACAGGAUUAGAUACCCUGGUAGCAGAGAGC